rnacentral:lncRNA from 1 species
CCCCGCGCUCCAUGACGGGAAUUGCCGAAACGCCGCCGGCACCGGGCGCUUCCCUGACCCCGCGCGGGCGGCUCCGGGGGCUGGGGAGGGGUCGGAGACCACCCCAAAGCCCCCAAAUUUCACCCCAAAUCCAUCAGAUUUCAUUCUAAAUCCAUCAAAUUUCAACCCAAAUUCAUCAGAUUUCACCCCAAAUCCAUCAGAUUUCAUUCUAAAUCCAUCAAAUUUCAACCCAAAUUCAUCAGAUUUCAUUCUAAAUCCAUCAAAUUUCAACCCAAAUUCAUCGGAUUUCAACCCAAAUCCAUCAGAUUUCAUUCUAAAUCCAUCAAAUUUCAACCCAAAUCCAUCAGAUUUCAACCCAAAUCCCUUCAGCUCACCCCAAAUCCCUCAAAUUUCACCCCAAAUACCUUAAUCCCAUCACAAAUCCCUCAAAUUUCACCCCAAAUCCCACAGAUCCUGCCCCAAAUCCCUUAAAUUUCACCUCAAAUUCCUUCAUCCCACUCCAAAUCCCACAAAUUUCACCCCAAAUCCCUCAAAUUUCACCCCAAAUCCCCCAAAUUUUACCCCAAAUCCCUCAAAUUUCACCACAAAUCCCACAAAUUUCACCCCAAAUCCCCCAAAUUUCACCCCAAAUCCCACAAAUUUCACCACAAAUCCCUCAAAUUUCACCCCAAAUCCCUCAAAUUUCACCACAAAUCCCACAAAUUUCACCCCAAAUCCCUCAAAUUUCACCCCAAAUCCCUCAAAUUUCACCCCAAAUCCCCCAAAUUUCACUUCAAAUCCCUCAAAUUUCACCCCAAAUCCCACAAAUUUCACCCCAAAUCCCUCAAAUUUCACCCCAAAUCCCUCAAAUUUCCCCCUAAAUCCCUUCAUCCCACCCCAAAUCCCCCAAAUUUUACCCCAAAUUCCCCAAAUUUCACCCCAAAUCCCUUCAUCCCACCCUAAAUAUUUAAUUUCUCCCCAAAUCCUUCAUUUCCCACCCCAGAACGGAUCAAAUCCCACCCCAAAAAUCUUUAUUCCCACCCCAAAAAUUCUUUUUUUACCUCCCAAACCCUUUCCCCUCACUCCAAUUUUUGGGAGUUUUAACAAAAAUUCACUGUUUUAACGAAAAUUCACUGUUUUAAUGAAAAUUCACUGUUUUAAUGAAAACUCACUGUUUUUCAUUAACCCUUUCCAGCCAAAUUCCGCUUUUUUCAGAGAAUUUUUCUCCCGCAGAAACAACCUAUAAAAUUGAGAAAAAAACCCCUUAAAUAAACACUGGAAAUACCCAAAGAUUUUAUUAACA